rnacentral:rRNA from 1 species
UGGGGAAUAUUGCACAAUGGAGGAAACUCUGAUGCAGCGACGCCGCGUGAGUGAAGAAGGUCUUCGGAUCGUAAAACUCUGUCCUUGGUGAAGAAAGAAAUGACGGUAGCCAAGGAGGAAGCCCCGGCUAACUACGUGCCAGCAGCCGCGGUAAUACGUAGGGGGCGAGCGUUGUCCGGAUUUACUGGGCGUAAAGGGUGAGUAGGCGGUAAUAUGUGUCAGAUGUAAAAGGCUAAGGCUUAACCAUAGUUAGCAUUUGAAACUGUAUUACUUGAGUGCAGGAGAGGUAAGCGGAAUUCCCAGUGUAGCGGUGAAAUGCGUAGAUAUUAGGAGGAACACCAGUGGCGAAGGCGGCUUACUGGACUGUAACUGACGCUGAGUCACGAAAGCGUGGGUAGCAAACAGGAUUAGAUACCCUGGUAGUCCACGCUGUAAACGAUGAGUGCUAGGUGUUGGGUAGCGAUAUUCAGUGCCGAAGUAAACACAAUAAGCACUCCGCCUGGGGAGUACGGUCGCAAGACUG